rnacentral:tRNA from 1 species
GGCCGCGUGGCGCAACGGAUAACGCGUCGGUCUACGGAACCGAAGAUUGCAGGUUCGAAU